rnacentral:lncRNA from 1 species
AUUUAUCUUCUCUUGGCCACCUCAAGUUUGGAAUCUGAACUCUUCUGCAAAAAGCUUCAGGACUGAUGAAGUUGCAUUUCUGAACUAGUAUUAAAAGGGUGAGAGAGAUUUAUGUGAAACAACUGAAACAUUUCAGUGUCAAAAUACUCCCAAAUACAGAACAACAGAGUAGAUCUGUGUGCUCACUCUUGCAAGAAAGGAAGAAGGAGGAUCUGGAGGAAAUUGAACAAUAAAGCUUCCUAGCUGAAUCCAGUAAAUUUUCCCAACCUCUCCAGAAUAUGAAAAAAAAAAAUGUUGCUUUUCUGUUUUGGUAAUUUUUCACAGUUAUGAAAGAAUUGGUGAGAGCAGUUUAGGAGAUGCAAUGACACUGUAUAACAGAAGAAAAAUAAAA